rnacentral:misc_RNA from 1 species
UAGAGAACUUACCUACAGAUAGGGAUAGCAAUCCACUAAGACAUUCAGCCAUUUUAAAAAGGGGACCUUGGUGGUACAUCUUUUUAUAUGAAUUUUAGGGAGUUCAUAGACAUUGAGAAGACUUGGGUAGAUGACUUAAUAAUGUUCUACGAAUUUCAGUUUCCGUUCCUUUCGUGUGGAGUUCAGCCUCAAAAUCCACGUGUCUCAGAAUCUGAUAACGAUGUGAUUUAUCCCGUACGUGAAGAUUUGUAGAAGUCGACAAUAUCAUAAGUUGUGAUUUACAAGAAAGUGAUUUAGGAUUCUAUCAGAUUUACUAAAGCAUUUGGUAAUAUAAUCAUCUUAUUUAAUGGUUGAAUACAAACAAAGAAGACUUAAUAUGUUAAAAGUAAAUUGUUUCAAAGGAUAUUGUGUAGUUUUAUUGUUAAAACAAACAACCUUAGAGGGGUGAGGGCAGCUGGAGUGUCAUACACAGCGACGUCCUGUUUAUCAAGGGAUAUACGUAGGUUGGGACCACAUCCUCGUGAACCAGUGAGGGCUGUGUCUUGCUGCUGGUAACUCCUGCUCUCGUCCUCACUCCCGGCAAAUGCACUAUCCCUCACAGAUUUCUUCAGAAGCACUUCGCACUGGAACAUAUGAUAUAUCCACUAUUUGAGUGUCAUAAUUACAGUGAAUAUCGAAAUUUGUUUCAGUGGCGGUAUCCAGUGAGCAACAAUUGUGGUGAAAGAGGAUUGUUGAUGAAGCGAAGCAAGAGAAGUGUUCUCUGGCCAAACUGAUUCACUCGCUAAUGGCAACACACAGCAAGUGACCAUCAACAUUUAAGAUCAUUUGACUAGGCUGCUGUUCUUGAUCCAGAUCCUCAUUGACUCCUAGACAAUCUCCUAAGAUAUCCAACUUCUUCAGGCAAACACCUUACACGUAGCCCCGUCCCCAUCAUCAUGACGAGUGAAGAUAACGAUGACAAGGGCAGUGCUCCGGACUGGGCCAUCGUGCUGACUGCCGUAACAGCUGUCAUCAUCGCCAUACUGGGAUUUUUUGGUAACCUGCUGACCAUCCUGGCACUACCGUACACUAGACGGCUGCGUCACUCCGCGACCUACCUAGUGGUGAACUUGGCGGUGGCUGAAGGCAUCUUUUGCGUCACCAUUCUGCCUAUCUCGGCCGCCCACCUCUUCACCCUGUACAUGACUAGCGGCAUGCGUCCUCUGUUUGACACUCAGGGCUGCAACGUAUUUGUCUUCCUACGUUACGUCAACAUCCAGGCGGAGCUUCUCUCUAUAGCCGCCAUCGCUGUCAACAGGUGUGUGUUGAUCGCUGUGCCCAAGAAGUACCCACAGGUGUUCUCCGGGCCUAAGACAGCAAUCCUUAUCGCCGCUAUUUGGCUUUGUUCCGGAUUCCUCAUGUUAAUACCAUUGUUGAAGAUCUACGGCGAGUUCACGUAUAACCACAACACGGACGAGUGUGACUUCUCCGACAACACCAAGUACGGCCAGGGACCCCGCAAGUUGUUCCUGGCUUUGGGUUUCCUGCUUCCCUGUGUGGUCAUCAUUGUUUCCUAUUCCUACAUCUUCUACAAGGCACGCCAGAGUUCGGUCAAGCUGCAGUCAAGAGGGUCCAGCCUAGUGAAAAACACGGACAACAGCAGCUCCGACACAAGGCCAACCCGUCCAAAAGAGGGCCUCAGGUCACGAGACAUCCGCAUCGCCAGGACUAUUGGCGUCAUCUUCCUGGCUUUCCUUCUCUGCUGCACCCCAGUGUCUGUUGUUCACUACCUCGAUAGUAAGUUUCACAUGCCGACGCUACUGCUGCUACUGCACCCGGUCUACUGGGCUCAGUACUGCAUCAAUAUCUUCAUCUACGUCUUCAUGAACAAGCAGUACCGUGACGCUUACGUCCACUAUAUCUCCAGAUGGUGGCCCAACUUCAAGGAGGUAGUAUCCCGUACAAAGUUCAAGUGGAAGGAGGAGCCUACGAGCGGGGACAGCCGUCGACAGUCCCGGGCCGCCACCCCCAGCAGUGGAUCAAGGUUCAACGUCCGUAAGUUCUCCAAGAACCUGAACCCAAAGAACAACACCUUGGACUCUAUGGAAUCUCAUCAUGGUCAACCCGGAACCCCGAAGAUAUUGACCAAGAGUGAAACACCAAACCUGGCCGACACUCGUCUCUAGUGCUGAGCCAGUGUUGCCACCACCACUUACUAUAGGUGUCCAGUGUUGCCACCACCACUUACUGUAGGUGUCCAGUGUUGCCACCACCACUUACUGUAGGUGUCCAGUGUUGCCACCACCACUUACUGUAGGUGUCCAGUGUUGCCACCACCACUUACUGUAGGUGUCCAGUGUUGCCACUACCACUUACUGUAGGUGUCCAGUGUUGCCACCACCACUUACUGUAAGUGUCCAGUGUUGCCACCACCACCACUUACUGCAAGUAUCCAGUGUUGCCACCACCACCACUUACUGUAAGUGUCCAGUGUUGCCAACACCACCA